GCACAACAGCAUUGGAGAACUGUGGUCCUGUCUUUGGUAUCCUAGCUGUAGGUUGUAUUAGCUGCUCCUAAAGCUAUUGUACCAAAGUAAGGAACAGUGUUCCAGUCUUCUCAGCCGGCG
rnacentral:precursor_RNA from 12 species